GUCUACGGCCAUACCACCCUGAACGCGCCCGAUCUCGUCUGAUCUCGGAAGCUAAGCAGGGUCGGGCCUGGUUAGUACUUGGAUGGGAAACAGGACUUUAGCAU
rnacentral:rRNA from 1 species